rnacentral:rRNA from 1 species
AUCAAAGAAGGUAAUAAUCCUGUAGUCGAAAAUGUUGUCUCUCUUGAGUGGAUCCUGAGUACGACGGAGCACGUGAAAUUCCGUCGGAAUCUGGGAGGACCAUCUCCUAAGGCUAAAUACUCUCUAGUGACCGAUAGUGAACCAGUACCGUGAGGGAAAGGUGAAAAGCACCCCGGAAGGGGAGUGAAAUAGAACCUGAAACCGUGUGCUUACAAGUAGUCAGAGCCCGUUAAUGGGUGAUGGCGUGCCUUUUGUAGAAUGAACCGGCGAGUUACGAUUUGAUGCAAGGUUAAGCAGUAAAUGUGGAGCCGUAGCGAAAGCGAGUCUGAAUAGGGCGUUUAGUAUUUGGUCGUAGACCCGAAACCAGGUGAUCUACCCUUGGUCAGGUUGAAGUUCAGGUAACACUGAAUGGAGGACCGAACCGACUUACGUUGAAAAGUGAGCGGAUGAACUGAGGGUAGCGGAGAAAUUCCAAUCGAACCUGGAGAUAGCUGGUUCUCUCCGAAAUAGCUUUAGGGCUAGCCUCAAGUGAUGAUUAUUGGAGGUAGAGCACUGUUUGGACGAGGGGCCCCUCUCGGGUUACCGAAUUCAGACAAACUCCGAAUGCCAAUUAAUUUAACUUGGGAGUCAGAACAUGGGUGAUAAGGUCCGUGUUCGAAAGGGAAACAGCCCAGACCACCAGCUAAGGUCCCAAAAUAUAUGUUAAGUGGAAAAGGAUGUGGCGUUGCCCAGACAACUAGGAUGUUGGCUUAGAAGCAGCCAUCAUUUAAAGAGUGCGUAAUAGCUCACUAGUCGAGUGACACUGCGCCGAAAAUGUACCGGGGCUAAACAUAUUACCGAAGCUGUGGAUUGUCCUUUGGACAAUGGUAGGAGAGCGUUCUAAGGGCGUUGAAGCAUGAUCGUAAGGACAUGUGGAGCGCUUAGAAGUGAGAAUGCCGGUGUGAGUAGCGAAAGACGGGUGAGAAUCCCGUCCACCGAUUGACUAAGGUUUCCAGAGGAAGGCUCGUCCGCUCUGGGUUAGUCGGGUCCUAAGCUGAGGCCGACAGGCGUAGGCGAUGGAUAACAGGUUGAUAUUCCUGUACCACCUAUAAUCGUUUUA